rnacentral:pre_miRNA from 1 species
CUAUAUGUACCCUGUAGAACCGAAUUUGUGUGAGCAGCAAAAAUCGCAAAUUCGUCUCUAGGGGAAUACAUGGG